rnacentral:tRNA from 1 species
CUAUUUAUGGGUAUUAAUCCCUCUUACCA